UACGAAGGGGGCUAGCGUUGCUCGGAAUUACUGGGCGUAAAGGGCGCGUAGGCGGACAGUUUAGUCAGAGGGGAAAGCCCCGGGCUUAACCUGGGAACUGCAUUUGAUACUACUGAGCUUGAGUACGGGAGAGGAUAGUGGAAUUCCCAGGGUAGAGGUGAAAUUCGUAGAUAUUGGGAAGAACACUGGUGGCGAAGGCGGCUAUCUGGACCGUAACUGACGCUGAGGCACGAAAGCGUGGGGAGCAAACAGG
rnacentral:rRNA from 1 species